ACCGGAGCUUGCUCCACCGGGAAAAGAGGAGUGGCGAACGGGUGAGUAACACGUGGGUAACCUGCCCAUCAGAAGGGGAUAACACUUGGAAACAGGUGCUAAUACCGUAUAACAAUCGAAACCGCAUGGUUUCGUUUUGAAAGGCGCUUUACGGUGCCGCUGAUGGAUGGACCCGCGGUGCAUUAGCUAGUUGGUGAGGUAACGGCUCACCAAGGCCACGAUGCAUAGCCGACCUGAGAGGGUGAUCGGCCACAUUGGGACUGAGACACGGCCCAAACUCCUACGGGAGGCAGCAGUAGGGAAUCUUCGGCAAUGGACGAAAGUCUGACCGAGCAACGCCGCGUGAGUGAAGAAGGUUUUCGGAUCGUAAAACUCUGUUGUUAGAGAAGAACAAGGGUGAGAGUAACUGUUCACCCCUUGACGGUAUCUAACCAGAAAGCCACGGCUAACUACGUGCCAGCAGCCGCGGUAAUACGUAGGUGGCAAGCGUUGUCCGGAUUUAUUGGGCGUAAAGCGAGCGCAGGCGGUUUCUUAAGUCUGAUGUGAAAGCCCCCGGCUCAACCGGGGAGGGUCAUUGGAAACUGGGAGACUUGAGUGCAGAAGAGGAGAGUGGAAUUCCAUGUGUAGCGGUGAAAUGCGUAGAUAUAUGGAGGAACACCAGUGGCGAAGGCGGCUCUCUGGUCUGUAACUGACGCUGAGGCUCGAAAGCGUGGGGAGCAAACAGGAUUAGAUACCCUGGUAGUCCACGCCGUAAACGAUGAGUGCUAAGUGUUGGAGGGUUUCCGCCCUUCAGUGCUGCAGCUAACGCAUUAAGCACUCCGCCUGGGGAGUACGACCGCAAGGUUGAAACUCAAAGGAAUUGACGGGGGCCCGCACAAGCGGUGGAGCAUGUGGUUUAAUUCGAAGCAACGCGAAGAACCUUACCAGGUCUUGACAUCCUUUGACCACUCUAGAGAUAGAGCUUCCCCUUCGGGGGCAAAGUGACAGGUGGUGCAUGGUUGUCGUCAGCUCGUGUCGUGAGAUGUUGGGUUAAGUCCCGCAACGAGCGCAACCCUUAUUGUUAGUUGCCAUCAUUUAGUUGGGCACUCUAGCAAGACUGCCGGUGACAAACCGGAGGAAGGUGGGGAUGACGUCAAAUCAUCAUGCCCCUUAUGACCUGGGCUACACACGUGCUACAAUGGGAAGUACAACGAGUCGCGAAGUCGCGAGGCUAAGCUAAUCUCUUAAAGCUUCUCUCAGUUCGGAUUGUAGGCUGCAACUCGCCUACAUGAAGCCGGAAUCGCUAGUAAUCGCGGAUCAGCACGCCGCGGUGAAUACGUUCCCGGGCCUUGUACACACCGCCCGUCACACCACGAGAGUUUGUAACACCCGAAGUCGGUGAGGUAACCUUUU
rnacentral:rRNA from 1 species